UACGUAGGGUGCGAGCGUUGUCCGGAAUUAUUGGGCGUAAAGCGCGCGCAGGUGGUUUCUUAAGUCUGAUGUGAAAGCCCACGGCUCAACCGUGGAGGGUCAUUGGAAACUGGGGAACUUGAGUGCAGAAGAGGAAAGUGGAAUUCCAAGUGUAGCGGUGAAAUGCGUAGAGAUGUGGAGGAACACCAGUGGCGAAGGCGGCUCUCUGGACUGUAACUGACGCUGAGGCGCGAAAGCGUGGGGAGCAAACAGG
rnacentral:rRNA from 1 species